GGGCCCCAAAGCCCUGGCUGUGCCUGGGCCUUCUUUUGUCUGGGCCCAGACGAGGCCUCAACUAUGCCAGGCCGCCUUCCAUCCUGGGCCCCAAAGCAGCCCUAACUGUGCCUGGUCCUCCUCCAUCCUGGGCCCGAAAGCAGCCCAUACUGGGUCUGGUCCUUCUUGAUCCUGGGUCGCAAGGCCCUAGCUGUAACUGGGCCCUUUUUGGUCUGGGCCCAGAGGAGGCCUCAACUCUGCUAGGCCCGACUCCAGCUCGGGCCCCAAAAGCAGCCCGAACUGCGCCCGGUCCUCCUCCAUCCUGGGCCCCAAAGCAGCCCCAACUGUGCCUGGUCCUGCUUCAUCCUGGGCACCAAGAGCCUGGCUGUGCCGGGGCUCCCUUUGGUCUGGGCCAAGAGCAGGCCUCAACUGUGCCAGGCCCCCCUCCAGCCCAGGCCCCAAAGCAGCCCCAACUGCGCCCGGUCCUCCUCCAUCCUGGGCCCCAAAGCAGCCCCAACUGUGCCUGCUCCUCCUCCACCCUAGGCCCCAAAGCCUGGGCAGUGCCGGGGCUCCCUCUGGUCUGGGCCAAGAGGAGGCCUCAACUCUGCUAGGCCCCCCUCCAGCUCGGCCCCCCCCAGUGCAGCCCUAACUGCACCUGGUCCUCCUCCAGCCUAGGCCCCGAGGCUCUACCUGUGCCUGGGCCCCCUUCCUUCUGGGCCCACACCAGGCCUCAACUGUGCCAGGCCCCCUCCAGCCUGGGCCCCGAGGCCACCACUCUGCUGGACCACCCUCCGGCACAGGCCCUGCCCCAAGCCCUGCCCCCUCUGGACAGCUCUGCUCUUUGCCUGCUUGGUUUUUGUUCUCUCUUCACUCUGCCAGCUUAACUGGAUGAGUUUCAAUGGGGCCGAGUGUCGGGUCCUGCAUUUUGGUCACAACAAGCCCAGGUGUCCCCCCAGUCCUCCUUGGGGAGGAGUGGCUGGAAAGCUGCCUGAGCCCUGAAAGGGACCUUGGUGUGCUGACGGACAGGUGGCUGAAGAUGAGCCAGCAGUGUGCCCAGGUGGCCAAGAAGGCCAAUGGCAUAAGGACAAUUCCUGGCUCAGGAACGGUGUGGUGAGCAGGACUAGGGAAGUCAUCCUGCCCCUGGACUCGGCACUGGCGAGGCCUCACCUCGAGUGCAGUGUUCAGUUUUGGGCACCUCAGCACAGAAGGGCCGUUGAGGUGCUGAAGCAGGUUGAAAGAAGGGCAACAAGGCUGGGGAAGGCCUUGGCCAAUAUGCCCUCUGAGGAGUGACUGAAGGAACUGGGGCUGUUUAGUGUGGGGAAAAGGAGGCUGAGGGGAGACCUGAUGGGCUCCCUAUUCCACCCAGGGAGCUGGUUCAGUCACCAUCCCUGAAUGUGUUGAAAACCAGGUGGUGCUCGGGGACAUGAUUGAGCAGGGGCUUGUUAGAGUUAGGCUGGUAUGGUUAGGUUGUGCUUAGACUGGAGGGUCUUGAAGGUCUUUGUGGCGACAAAAACUCCAACCAUCUCAAGCCUGGGGGAAAGGGGCUGACCCCAACGGUCACGCAACCCCCCUGGGGGGAGGGGCUCCCCUAACUGCCACUCUCCAGCUGUCAUGGCAGGUAAGGCAGCACGCUUCCCCUGCUCCCAUGCUUCAGCUGGCCCCAGCGCUCCAGAUCCCACCCCUGUGCCCCAGAUCUCACCCCAGCGCCCCAGAUCCCACCCCUGUAACCCCGAUAUCACCCCUGUAAGCCCGAUCUCACCCCUGUGCCCCAGAUCCCACCCCAGCGCCCCAGAUCCCAGCCCUGUAAGCCCGAUCUCCGCCCUGUGCCCCAGAUCCCACCCCAGCGCCCCAGAGCUCACCCCAGAGCCCACCCCAGAGCCUACUUUGGCCUUUCCCCACAG
ensembl:lncRNA